rnacentral:ncRNA from 1 species
CAAACAGACGCGCAAGGGAGGAGUAUGUAUGUGAGAACUCUUUUCUCGUACUGAAAGGGAGGUGUGAUUUUGCACCCGUGGCGUGCGCAAUUUCUCUUUUUUGUGUUUUUGCCCAACGCCGGCCGGCCCCCCGUGGGCUGCGCGCGAGUGUGCCUGUUUGGACCCGAAAGGUGGUGAACUAUGCCUGAACAAGGUGAAGCCCGGGGAAACCCCGGUGGAGGCCUGUAGCGAUGCUGACGUGCAAAUCGCUCGUACGAUUUGGGUAUCGGAGCGAAAGACUCAUCGAACCACCUAGUAGCUGGUUCACGUCGAAGUUUCCCUCAGGAUAGCUGGUGCUUGUCUUUAAGAAGUAUUGUGCGGUAAAGCAAAUGAUUAGAGGCAUUGGUGUUCUUGUAAUAUCGACCUAUUCUCAAACUUUAAAUGUGCAAACAACCCAGCCUUAGUUAUCUUAACAAGGCUUUUGGGUACAUAAGAAUUGAGGCACCAAGUGGGCCUUCUUCGGUAAGCGGAGCAGGCGAUGCGGAAUGAACCGCUUAGGGAUAUGUGGCGUCAAAACUUGUGGGCUCAUUCUCGAUACGUGAAAAGGGUGUUAGCGGAUAGGGACACUUGGACGGUGGCCAUGGAAGUCGGCAUCCGCUAAUGAGUUUGUAACAACUCGCCAACCGAAUUCACCGGCCCGGAAAAUGGAUGACGCUUAAGCCCCAUGUGCGUGAUUGCCAAUUAUUCCUUUGGUGAGGGCGGCUAUAUUUCUUUGUCCCUGGC